AAUCGCCUCCUCCCUGCGUCAGACGAGACACACACCCGCAGGCGAGAGCGGAUCCUCCGGCUAGAUCCCGACGCCGCUGGCGAUGCAGGUCGAUGGCCGCCCCUAAGGGUUCACUCAGCAUGGAUUUUCCAUCCCUAGAUUCGCCUUGGCUCGACCGAGAAGAAGCAAACCAGACGGGAGAUGAGGGCACCAGCCCAAGCCGAUCCGUCGACUCUACGAGCUCUGGAAGCAACGGCCGCGCCGGAUUUCGCGGAGGUAGCGGAAGUUCCGAUGCCUUCUCCAGAUGAAGCCGCGGCCCAUCUCUCCGGUUCACCACCAUCGCCUGGGUCAUGGAACAACAGGUCAUAUAACAACCAAGCUUAAGGACUGCCGCUGGAGGAUUCCCCCCUUCGCGUUUUGGAAUCGCUCCUAUUUAUUGUUCAUCAUGAUAUAGUUUUAUGAAGAGAUAAUUCAGGCCAGAUGAUAACCAAACAUAUGAAUUAUCCCAUCUGCGCCUCACAAUCGCCUCCAUCUCCACAUCCAUGGAAGAAGAGUCCUGCCUUGGGAGAAUUUUGUUCUACAGAAAGCCAAAUAUGGCAGGAAAAUUAUAUCACUCAAGAAUUGGGUAGUGGUGGCAGGACAGAACUGGUGACGUGGGGACAGCUGCCAGCGUUGGUGUUGUGGAUCUGCCGGAUGAAGGUGAUGGGGGCUAGGACUGACAACCAGCAGCUGGUCGCCCUCCGUGUGACGAUUUGUGAACUUAUAUGUAAUAGGGGGAGAUGAUCCAUAUAAGAACUUAAUAAAUGAGGGAUUGGUAUAUCGUGAAUAUCUCCAAAGAACUUUAUAAAUAGUGAUUGGUCCAUCAUGAAUAUUUUA